GGAGAUUUUUCCCUCUCUGAUGUGUGGGGGGUGGUGACUUGCUGGAUAAAGGGUGUAUCUCUGGAGUGUCAACCUCUACACAAAGAUGGAGAUGUAGCCAGUCCAUACCCACUCUACAGUGCCAUUGAAAAGCAAAUGUUUCAAAAGAACCAGCAAAAAGAAAUGUGGUUUGAGUUCAGCCCCCAUGAGGUUGGCUUCCUAGAGCCUGGAGCUUACGUGAAUACAUCACUGCUGAAGAAGGACUUUGUGG